AAAUGAAUAGACGGGGGCCCGCACAAGCGGAGGAACAUGUGGUUUAAUUCGAUGAUACGCGAGGAACCUUACCCGGGCUUGAAUUGCAGACGAACGUUCCAGAGAUGGUCCGGCCCUUCGGGGCGUCUGUGAAGGUGCUGCAUGGUUGUCGUCAGCUCGUGCCGUGAGGUGUCGGCUUAAGUGCCAUAACGAGCGCAACCCCUCUCCUUAGUUGCCAUCAGGUCAAGCUGGGCACUCUGGGGACACUGCCACCGUAAGGUGUGAGGAAGGUGGGGAUGACGUCAAAUCAGCACGGCCCUUACGUCCGGGGCUACACACGUGUUACAAUGGCGCGUACAGAGGGUCGGCCGCCGGCAACGUCGGUCAAAUCCAUAAAACGCGUCCCAGUUCGGACUGGGGUCUGCAACCCGACCCCACGAAGCUGGAUUCGCUAGUAAUCGCGCAUCAGCCAUGGCGCGGUGAAUACGUUCCCGGGCCUUGUACACACCGCCCGU
rnacentral:rRNA from 1 species